AAUAUUAGGUUGGUGCACAAGUAAUUGUGGUUUUUGCAAUUUAAAGUAAUGGCAAAAACCACAAUUACUUGUGCACCAACCUAAU
ensembl:miRNA